AGCUCAGUGGCGCAGAGGUAGCGUGUUGGGCUCAUAACCCAAAGGUCGAUGGAUCGAAACCAUCCUGAGCUA